GCUUGAGCACGUAGGUGGGUUUGUAAGUCAGGUGUGAAAGCCUUCUGUUCAACGGGAGAAUUGCAUCUGAAACUACGAAUCUUGAGUGUAGGAGGGGAGAAUGGAACUUCUGGUGGAGCGGUGAAAUGCGUAGAUAUCAGAAGGAACGCCGGCGGCGAAAGCGAUUCUCUGGCCUAUUACCGACACUCAGUGUGCGAAAGCUAGGGGAGCAAACGGGAUUAGAUACCCCGGUAGUCCUAGCCGUAAACGAUGGGCACUAAGUAGUGGGAAUUACCGAUGUUCUCUCUGCCGUAGCUAACGCAUUAAGUGCCCCGCCUGGGGAGUACGGCCGCAAGGCUAAAACUCAAAAGAAUUGACGGGGGCUCGCACAAGCGGUGGAGCCUGUGGCUUAAUUCGAUGCAACGCGAAGAACCUUACCGGGGCUUGACAUGGUAGAAGUAGGAACCCGAAAGGGUAACGAACGGUAUCCAGUCCGUGACUAUCACAGGUGUUGCAUGGCUGUCGUCAGCUCGUGUCGUGAGACGUUGGGUUAAGUCCCCUAACGAGCGAAACCCUUGUUUUUAGUUACCAGCGGGUUAUGCCGGGUACUCUAGAAAGACUGCCGUCGUCAAGACGGAGGAAGGUGGGGAUGACGUCAAGUCAUCAUGGCCCUUAUGCCCCGGGCUGCACACGUGCUACAAUGGUCGGUACAAACGGAAGCGAAGCCGAGAGGUGAAGCGAAUCCAAGC
rnacentral:rRNA from 1 species